GAAUAUUGGCUGCUUAUGACUCGCAGCUGAGCUCUUCUCUGGACUUGGCCUUUGUCUGAAAGGAACCUUCUCACGGGUGGUGAUGGCCUUCCCUGGAGGCGAUCUGACUUCACUAACUGGUUGGCAAAGUGAUACAAAGGAAUGAAAGUGAAGUACCCCCACUACCACAAAUUAUGCAGUCAGGUUUCCUGCAGACGUCAACACAUCCAGCGUGCAAUGGAUGAGCCUCACCCUGGGAAAGCCACCUUCAUGAUCAUGGUAUUUCCCCCAGUAGAUGAACUCACUUAGAUUGAGUCAAGAACCCACUGAAGACAAUCAUCAGAGCUGAGAAAAUUAACUAAGAAAAAGAUGCACGUGGCUGUAAUUAGAAGAAAAACAGUUUGCCUGCUCUCAUUUGGCUGAGCAUUUUAAAAAACCUUUUCAAUAAUACAAGAGAGAAGAGACUGAAUUGUGAUAGCUGGAACCAUGGAUGAGAGAACAGCACACACCCAUCAGAAAAUGUGCCUGGAGCACCUCCUGGGUGGCAGCCUGUUGCAGCAGCACUCAUGAGUCUGGGCACAUACAUUCUGGGAUAGGUGUCCAGGUAUAUUCUGCUAUCAAUAUUGCUAGAAAGUUACCAAAACACCCUGAGCCUCAAUUUCUUUAUUGGUAAGUGGAAAGAAUAAUAACACCUAUAGGCUUGUCAUAAAGGUUAUAGAAGAAUAAAAUGUAAUGUUUACUGAGCACUAUUUAUUAUGGUUAAUACUGAGGGUCAACUUGAUUGGAUUGAAGGAUACAAAGUAUUGAUCCUUGGUAUGUCUGUGAGGGUGUUGUCAAAGGCGAUUAAUAUUUGAGUCAGUGGGCUAGGAAAGGCAGACCCACCCUUAAUCUGGGUGGGCACAAUCUAAUCAGCUGCUGGUGCAGCUAGAAUAUAGGCAGGCAGAAAAGUGUGAAAAGAGAGACUGGCCUAGCCUCCCAGACUACAUCUUUCUCCUGUGCUGGAUGCUUCCUGCUCUUGAAUAUCG
rnacentral:lncRNA from 10 species